CAAUAGCGUAUAUUAAAGGUGUUGCAGUUAAAAAGCUCGUAGUUGGAUUUCUGGUCGGAAGCUCCUGUCCUCUGAUGAGCGUACAAGUGCGUCCUACCAUCCUUCUGUUAACCUUUAAGGCUUUCGCGGCUUUCUAGGGGCUCAGAUAUUUUACCUUGAGAAAAUUAGAGUGUUUCAGGCAGGCUAGCGCCGGAAUACAUUAGCAUGGAAUAAUGGAAUAGGACUUUUGCCUCUUCUGUUGGUCAUGAGGCUCGAGUAAUGAUUAAUAGGGAUAGUUGGGGGCAUUAGUACUUAACUGUCAGAGGUGAAAUUCUCGGAUUUGUUAAAGACUAACUUAUGCGAAAGCAUUUGCCAAGGAUGUUUUCAUUAA
rnacentral:rRNA from 1 species